ensembl:lncRNA
UAUUUAAAUUUAAAUUUUAAAAAAUUUUAUUGUGACUAUAAGUCUUUAAUAAAAUAUUCUGGCUAAAGCUACUAUUAAACGUAUUAUUAAUAUGAAAUUGACCAACACAGCAUUUAUUUUUUUGAGACAGGGUCUCACUUUGUCACCCAGUCUGGAGUGCAGUGACACAAACAUGGCUCCUGGGCUCAAGCGCUCUCCCACCUCAGCCUCCUGUGUAGCUGGGACCACAGGUGUGUGCCACCAUGCCCAGUGUGAAGAUGUGCUUGGUUUCCUUUCGUCCUUCCACCAUGAUUAUAAGUCUCCUGAGAUUUCCCAGCCAAGCUUCCUGUACAGCCUGCAGAACUGUGAGUCAAUCAAACCUCUUUUAAUCACCAAUUACCCAGUCUCAGGUAGUCCUUUAUAGUAGUGUGAGAACGGACUAAUACAGUAUAUUAUAGUCAAACUGUCAAAAGUCAAAGACAGAGAACAUUCUAAAUGCAAUGAGAGAAAAAUGCCUAGCUAUUUAUAAGAGAACUCCCAUCAGAAUAACAGCAGAUUUCUCAGCAGAAAUCAUACAAGCCAAGAGAGAAUGGGAUCAUAUAUUCAUAGUACUGAAAGAAAAAAUUCCUGUAAGCCAGGGAUACUACACCCAGAAAAUUAUCCUUCAUCAGUGAAGGAGAAAUAAAGGCUAUCCCAGACAAACAAAAGCUAAGGGAAUUCAUCAUCACUAAACUGACCCUACAAUAAAUUCUUAAUGGAGCCCCACACCUGGAAGUGAAAGAAUGAUAUCCAAAAUCACUAAAACACGUGAAAGUAUAAAACCCACUUAUUGUAGGAUCUGGCCAGCAGCCCGCAAUGCAACGGGACUCUUUCUUUGUUCCCAGGCGGAUUGGCAGGUUGAGAAAUAAUAGACACACACAAGAUAGUGAAAGCUGGGUCCAGGGGGGUCAUUGCCUUCUGGUCCCACGAUGCUGCCAAUGCACUGGAUGUACCAGCAUUUAUUAUGAAGUUUAGUGAGGGUGGGGGUAGGUUAGUGAGGGAUUUAGGGUCAUUUGAUUGAGGUGAGAUGGUCACAUGGGGAUGAAGUAAUUCUUUAACAUAACAUCUGUAUGCAGAAGUACAGUAUACAGAGAUAAGAAUUUACAAUAUAGUGUGUACAUCAGUAAUUUCUAACAGAGCCUUAAAGCAGAAACACAGUUUUUCCAUAACCUAUGAUUAGCAAGAUAUUAAUCAGCAGUAACAGUUGCAGCAAAAGCUGGUUACAAACAAUCCAUAGAAACAGGAUGUGAAGCUAGACAACUGGUGAGACCAGAAAUUCUCAGAAGGGAGUAUGCCUUAACCCUAAAGAGACCUAGAAGAGCCGUGGCAAGAUGAGGGCAUUGAUAGCCCUAUCUUAUCCAUAUGGACAGGUGUCCCUUAUGCGUCCAUAUAUAGGUUCUCCACAAGGGUCGCAUUCCAGUCCCAGAGCUAUGAACAUCUGUUUUUCUGGGAUAGGAAUCUUGGUGAUGUGAAACCUCUCUGACUGCACGUCCGUUCAUAGGCUCUCUGCAGGGGGAAGCGCAUCACGUGCUGUUGGCUCAUUCUGGCAGUCCAACCUGGCAUUGUCUUUACACAAUCCUACAUGCAAUUUUGUAUUUACAAUAAUCAGGAGCAUUUCAUCUUUUAUUCCAUAGCAAUAGUUUCAGGGGGUCUCCCUACACCCACUGAUAGAAAAAACACACAAAUGAGGAUGCUAAUGUUACCACUACCACCAAACGACAGUGAUAAACAAUAAGAAAGAAGGG